GGGCCCGUAGCUCAGCAAGGUCAGAGCGGCGGACUCUUAAUCCGUUGGUCGCGGGUUCAAUUCCCGUCGGGCCCG
rnacentral:tRNA from 1 species